rnacentral:rRNA from 1 species
UAGUCCACGCCGUAAACGAUGGAUACUAGGCGUUCGGGGUGUUAACCCUCUGAGUGCCGGAGUUCACGCAUUAAGUAUCCCGCCUGGGGAGUACGGUCGCAAGGCUAAAACUCAAAGGAAUUGACGGGGGCCCGCACAAGCGGUGGAGUAUGUGGUUUAAUUCGAAGCAACGCGCAGAACCUUACCUAGGCUUGACAUCCCGGGACAACUGUAGAAAUACAGCCUUCUCUUCGGAGACCCGGUGACAGGUGCUGCAUGGCUGUCGUCAGCUCGUGUUGUGAAAUGUUCGGUUAAGUCCGGCAACGAGCGCAACCCUUGUCUAUAGUUGCCAGCAUUGAGUUGGGGACUCUAUAGAGACUGCCAGUGUUAAACUGGAGGAAGGCGGGGAUGACGUCAAGUCCUCAUGGCCCUUACGCCUAGGGGCUACACACGUACUACAAUGGGCAAAGACAGAGCGACGCGAAACCGCGAGGUGAAGCUAAUCGCAAAAACNUUAGUCUCAGUCCGGGAUUGAAGUCUGC